AACGAACGCUGGCGGCAGGCUUAACACAUGCAAGUCGAACGCGUGUAGCAAUACACGAGUGGCGCACGGGUGAGUAACGCGUGGAUAUCUGCCUUUUGGUUCGGAAUAACCCCGGGAAACUGGGGCUAAUACCGGAUGGUUCCUUCGGGAUAAAGAUUUAUCGCCAAAAGAUGAGUCCGCGUACGAUUAGCUAGUUGGUGAGGUAAUGGCUCACCAAGGCGACGAUCGUUAGCUGGUCNGAGAGGACGAUCA
rnacentral:rRNA from 1 species